ACAGCAGCAGCCACGGUAAUACGUAGGUGGCAAGCGUUGUCCGGAAUUAUUGGGCGUAAAGGGCUCGCAGGCGGUUUCUUAAGUCUGAUGUGAAAGCCCCCGGCUCAACCGGGGAGGGUCAUUGGAAACUGGGAAACUUGAGUGCAGAAGAGGAGAGUGGAAUUCCACGUGUAGUGGUGAAAUGCGUAGAGAUGUGGAGGAACACCAGUGGCGAAGGCGACUCUCUGGUCUGUAACUGACGCUGAGGAGCGAAAGCGUGGGGAGCGAACAGGAUUAGAUACCCCCGUAGUCCCUGUCUCUUAUAC
rnacentral:rRNA from 1 species